GCUCAACCCCGAGCGGCCAUUGGAAACUGGGGAGCUUGAGUGCAGAAGAGGAGAGUGGAAUUCCACGUGUAGCGGUGAAAUGCGUAGAGAUGUGGAGGAACACCAGUGGCGAAGGCGACUCUCUGGUCUGUAACUGACGCUGAGGCGCGAAAGCGUGGGGAGCAAACAAGAUUAGAUACCCUGGUAGUCCACGCCGUAAACGAUGAGUGCUAGGUGUUAGGGGUUUCGAUGCCCGUAGUGCCGAAGUUAACACAUUAAGCACUCCGCCUGGGGAGUAUGGCCGCAAGGCUGAAACUCAAAGGAAUUGACGGGGACCCGCACAAGCAGUGGAGCAUGUGGUUUAAUUCGAAGCAACGCGAAGAACCUUACCAGGUCUUGACAUCCUUUGACCACCCAAGAGAUUGGGCUUCCCCUUCGGGGGCAAAGUGACAGGUGGUGCAUGGUUGUCGUCAGCUCGUGUCGUGAGAUGUUGGGUUAAGUCCCGCAACGAGCGCAACCCUUGAUCUUAGUUGCCAGCAUUAAGUUGGGCACUCUAAGGUGACUGCCGGUGACAAACCGGAGGAAGGUGGGGAUGACGUCAAAUCAUCAUGCCCCUUAUGACCUGGGCUACACACGUGCUACAAUGGAUGGUACAAAG
rnacentral:rRNA from 1 species